GGGAGCGUGGCGGAAUCGGCAUACGCAGAGGACUUAAAAUCCUUCGCCUUCGGGAUUGUGGGUUCGAGUCCCACCGCUCCUACCA
rnacentral:tRNA from 4 species